UCAGACGGUCGGGCGGCCGCUCUUGCAAGGCUUGAAAAGGCGCAAGGGAGGAAAGUCCGGGCUCCACGCAAACAUGGUGGCGGGUAAGGCCCGCCGGGGCGCUGCUUUCGGGCAGGGUUUCAGGGAUAGCGCCACAGAGAAUAGACCGCCUCCUUGGUCCUUGGACCACAGAGGUAAGGGUGAAACGGUGGGGUAAGAGCCCACCGCUCCGACCGUAAGGAAGGAGGCAUGGCAAGCCCCACCAGGAGCAAGACCGAAUAGGGACACCAUGUGGCAAGCUUAGCUUGUCACGGCUCGUUUGUGGGUUGGCGUGUCCGGGUAGGUCGCAAGAGGCCUUGCGCGAGCAAGGUCCCAGAUGAAUGGUCGCACAGAGGGGGCAACCCCUUGGACAAAACCCGGCUUAUAGACCGUCUGACAUU
rfam:Hyphomonadaceae bacterium TKL13-1, complete genome.